rnacentral:tRNA from 1 species
GCCCAGCUGCCUCAGUUGGUAGAGCACGUGGCUCUAGAUCUCGGGGUCGUGAGUUCAAGCCCCACGCUGGGUA